CUCACCACCUGCAGGAAGGUUCAGGGGGGUUGGUACGGUGCAGUGUGAUUUGGGUGGCGGUCAUGGAGACCGCUGCCCCCACAAGUUCUUUUUCUGGACAAGGAGAAAGUGCUGGAGAGACUUGACCAGCCCAGGCACCAGGUGUGGGGAGUGAGACUAACGAACAGGACACAGGUGAGGGAGAUCACUCCAAUUCCCAGAGACAGACAGUUUGACAGGAAUGACCGGUGGACUGAGUCAGACCACAUGUCAUGCAGCUCUCGGGAAAAGGCCAACACAAAGCUACCCAUAAUCCCGUGGUGCUGCCUCCACACCUUUCUCUGACACUGAAGACUCGAUGUCCACACGUUGGGCUGUACUCACCAGGUUGCGAACGUCGGGCACAGUGAGCCAUAGUGGGAGUACGAUGGGCAACAGUAACAGUGAUUCUUUUUUUCCAUCUUUAUCAUCAUCAUCAGAGCUGUCCUCACUCUCAGAAUAGUCACUGCUGUGUUUGUCGUUGGCGCUGCUGUUUGAGCGAUCUGAACUGCCUGCUGCUGCCCCCUACAGGAUGAGAGGUGCAUGGCUCAGCAGUAUCGCCCCCUGGUGGACUAGCAGCAUCAGCAGAGCCCUGCUCAGACUUUUGCUUUUGAUCAUCAUCUGAAUAAAAAAGGAAAAUGGAUAAAGUCUGGGACAAAAAU